AUUGAACGCUGGCGGAAUGCUUUACACACGCAAGUCGAACGGCAGCACAGGUGCUUGCACCUGGUGGCGAGUGGCGAACGGGUGAGUAAUGCAUCGGAACGUACCGUGUAGUGGGGGAUAACGCAUCGAAAGGUGUGCUAAUACCGCAUACGUCCUGAGGGAGAAAGUGGGGGAUCGCAAGACCUCACGCUAUACGAGCGGCCGAUGUCCGAUUAGCUAGUUGGUGAGGUAAAGGCUUACCAAGGCGACGAUCGGUAGCUGGUCUGAGAGGACGACCAGCCAGACUGGGACUGAGACACGGCCCAGACUCCUACGGGAGGCAGCAGUGGGGAAUUUUGGACAAUGGGCGAAAGCCUGAUUCAGCCAUUCCGCGUGUCUGAAGAAGGCCUUCGGGUUGUAAAGGACUUUUGUCAGGGAGGAAAUCCCUAGUGCUAAUAACACUGGGGGAUGACAGUACCUGAAGAAUAAGCACCGGCUAACUACGUGCCAGCCGCCGCCGUAA
rnacentral:rRNA from 1 species